AUUGAACGCUGGCGGCAGGACUAACACAUGCAAGUCGAACGAGUGGCGGACGGGUGAGUAAUGUCUGGGAAACUGCCUGAUGGAGGGGGAUAACUACUGGACACGGUAGCUCAUACCGCAUACCAUCCGAUGUUCCCAGAUGGGAUUAGCUAGUUGGGGGGGUAACGGCUCACCAAGGCGACGAUCCCUCGCUGGUCUGAGAGGAUGACCAGCCAAACUGGAACGGAGACACGGGCCAGACUCCUACGGGAGGCAGCAGUGGGGAAUAUUGCAAAAUGGGCGCAAGCCUGAUGCAGCCAUGCCGCGUGUAUGAAGAAGGCCUUCGGGUUGGAAAGUACUUUCAGCGGAGAGGCGUUACCCGCAGAAGAAGCACCGGCUAACUCCGUGCCAGCAGCCGCGGUAAUGC
rnacentral:rRNA from 1 species